GCUGGGCUUGGGGACGCAAGCCUGUAAUCCCAGGUACUUGAAGGCUGAAGCAGGAGGAUCAACAGUUCAAAGCCAGCCUCAGCAAAUACAACGUGCUGAACAACUCAGUGAGACCCUGUCUCUA
rnacentral:sRNA from 1 species